CUAGUUUCCAGGUUUCAAACCUAAACAUCUCUAUUUCAUAUGGCACAGAAAUUUUUAAAACAGAAGUUGGAAAAACAAACAAACAGAAAAGCUGUAAAAUCAACAAUAAAUAAAUAAAAUAGACACAUGUAAAUGUCAGACAGUCACAACAGUCAUCAGCAACCACAUUCAGAUCACAAUCACCUAAGUAUUAAUCACCCGCACCUGCUGCAGCUCAUCAAGCUCCCCUUUAUAUACACAAACUCCACACGCCUUCUUUGUCUGGUCUACCAUUCACACCCUGAACAAUGCCAGACUGGCUUGUGAGCCGUACUUGUGUUUACUCACCUCAGAUGCUCCUGUUCUCCACCGAUCCAGUACUCCUCCGCUCCAGAUUCUCCACAAUCCUCCUACAGCCAAAGAGGAACCUAUUACCACAAGCCAAGCAAUAGACUGUUGCAUCUGGAACAUUCUCAAUAUAAAGGGUUCAGCUACUCACCUGUACAAGCUGAGUCAUUACACAACAGGUGUAAUUCUGCAUGGAACAAGGGAACAGUUGGCCUAACAAGGCUUACGAAAAGUCAACUUUGAAAAAUAUGUGAUGGGGUGAUUACCUUUGUAAAUGUGAACAAUGUGCUGUGCUGUGGACAAAUAAAACAACAGAGAUGGUUGUAGCCAUUCUGUGGAGGAAAAGUUAGUAUUCAGCCCUCAUAUCGAUCAUCAACUGAAUGCGGUGCCAUAUCCAGUGGAUAUAUCUUUCUUGCACCAGCUGCAACUCUGUGAUCCUGCAGCAACAGGAAUCAUAAUAAUCAAUCAUCAGUAUGAAUGUCUGUAAUA